GAUGAACGCUGGCGGCGUGCUUAACACAUGCAAGUCGAACGGAAAGGCCCUGCUUUUGUGGGGUGCUCGAGUGGCGAACGGGUGAGUAACACGUGAGUAUACUGCCCUUGACUGUGGGAUAACUUCAGGAAACUGGGGCUAAUACCGGGUAGGAGCUCCUGCUGCAUGGUGGGGGUUGGAAAGUUUCGGCGGUUCGGGAUGGAAUCGCGGCUUAUCCGCUUCAUGGUGAGGUAGUGGCUUACAAAGCCUUUGACGGGUAGCCGGCCUGAGAGGGUGACCGGCGACAUUGGUACUGAGAUACGGCCCAGACGCCUACGGGAGGCAGCAGUGGGGAAUAUUGCACAGUGGGCGGACGCCUGAUGCAGCAACGCUGCGUGCGGGAUGCCGGCCUUCGGGUUGUAAACCGCUUUCGCCUGUGACGAAGCGUGAGUGACGGUAAUGGGUAAAGAAGCACCGGCUAACUACGUG
rnacentral:rRNA from 1 species